UCCGUAGGCGGGCGUCUAAGUCAGUGGUGAAAUCUUACAGCUCAACUGUGAAAUUGCCAUUGAUACUGGAUGUCUUGAAUUAGUGUGAAGUGGUUAGAAUGUGUAGUGUAGCGGUGAAAUGCAUAGAUAUUACACAGAAUACCAAUUGCGAAGGCAGAUCACUAACACUAUAUUGACGCUGAGGGACGAAAGCGUGGGGAGCGAACAGGAUUAGAUACCCUGGUAGUCC
rnacentral:rRNA from 1 species